rnacentral:rRNA from 1 species
UACGUAGGGUGCAAGCGUUGUCCGGAAUUAUUGGGCGUAAAGAGCUCGUAGGCGGUCUGUUGCGUCGGCUGUGAAAUCCCGUGGCUCAACUGCGGGUCUGCAGCCGAUACGGGCAGGCUAGAGUUCGGUAGGGGAGACUGGAAUUCCUGGUGUAGCGGUGAAAUGCGCAGAUAUCAUUUGGAACGCCAAUGGUGAAAACAGCUUGCUGGGGGUUUGCUGACGCUGAGACACGAAAGCCAGGGGAGCAAACGGG